AACGGCCGCGGGGACGAACGGAUCGGGUCGCGUUUACCAACAUCCGCACCCGCGACUAUCUCCGAUUACCUUCACCUUGCGUAGUCUAACCUCCGACCGUCUCCCGCUAAAUCUUUUGUCCUGUUUCACCCUCUCGGAUGUUUAAAUCGAGGUAAAUUUAGGGAGGGUGACGAGAUCUUACAAUUUAGACGGCCACACUGCCGAUUUCUCUUUAGGUCUCGAGGCCCGCCGGUGACUCUCUCUCUCUCUCUCCUUCGACGCUUUCGGAAUCGGGGUUAGGGUUUUAGUGGGGUGAGUCCAUGGACUUGGGGAGCGGCAGAGGAGCAUAAGUCGGAGGUGGAGGAGGAGGCCUCCGAUCACAUCGAUGGCGAGCUCGUGCUCUCCAUCGAGAUGGUAACGAGCUUUCCAUUCUCCUUUGCUUUCGGACAUGAUUUUGUUUUACUACUUGAUCCAAAGAUUCUAUGGCAUUUCGCUUAAUCUAAUGGUGUUAGCAUAAGACUGCUGGAAACCUGAGCUGAUUCUUCUUGAUUGUGGAUGGAAGUCGUCGGUUCGUUAAUGGAAAGUGUUAUUCUUUGUCGUCUCGUUUGUUCUAUCGUCUUCUAUCUUGACAGACAUAUUCCUUCUUUGACAAUGGGACAACUACCAUAAUUGGUACAAUAACAAAGUGGAAGGAGGGAGUGAAUAUUGCAAGUGGUGUUGCUCACAAAAAAAGGAAGGGGGUAAGAGACCCUUAGCUGUAGAAAGUUUCUAUGCCUGGUUCACUGAAACCCAACAGAAAAAACUUUCAGAGGGGUUCUUUGAUGUGGUGGCUGGGAUUAUAAAAGAAAAUUUAUGAUCUGAUCCCUUGAAAUGCUUCAACAAUCUACUGCUUUUACUUGGCAUCAUGAAAAACAGGGGAAAGAAAGACAAACCAUGCAAUGGCUAGCCACAUUUGUUGGUGCAGGAAGCUGAUGAGGAAGAUUUUGAUGUAGAUGAAAAUGAUGAGAAGAAGAAGAGAACGUGAAGUCUCAGAACUCUCAUCAGCUCAUAAAUCAGACCAUUUGGUGCACAUCCAGGUCAUGUCUCUCCUCCAUGCCCCAAACUCGUCCUCUUCACACCUCGGACAUCGUGCGUACGGCCAACCGAUCCAUGAAGGGCGUCACCGAUCGAUUCAUUGAUGCAGAGACAAGCCGACCGUGACACAGAGAAAGCGCACCAGCAUCGUCACCGUGACGACCCAUGGCACAGCCUGCUGUACAUUGUACUUCGUUCGAAGUAUUCUGAGGUCUUGCUGUUCAAACGUACGGGGCUGCAAAGUCAGAGAUGACACCAUCCACCGUACCAUGUGGAUCUACCAGAAGACAUUCCAUGGAAAAAGAUGUCUUUCUAUGUACCAUUAGAAUGAACAGAAUCAUGGAAGCUACUUUGUGCUCUCUUUUUCUUGGCUUACUUAGGAUGGUCAAAUGGCCUACUCAAGACUGCUUUGUGCUCUCGUUGGGGGCAAAAGAUAGCAUUUAGAGUUCCCGAUUAGAAGGGGUUUCUGAUGCUAGACAUCAAAUGCGAGCUGAUGAAGGUAUUUGUGUG